AUUGAACGCUGGCGGCAGGCCUAACACAUGCAAGUCGAGCGGAUGAAGGGAGCUUGCUCCUGGAUUCAGCGGCGGACGGGUGAGUAAUGCCUAGGAAUCUGCCUGGUAGUGGGGGAUAACGUCCGGAAACGGGCGCUAAUACCGCAUACGUCCUGAGGGAGAAAGGGGGGGAUCUUCGGACCUCACGCUAUCAGAUGAGCCUAGGUCGGAUUUGCUAGUUGGUGGGGUAAAGGCCUACCAAGGCGACGAUCCGUAACUGGUCUGAGAGGAUGAUCAGUCACACUGGAACUGAGACACGGUCCAGACUCCUACGGGAGGCAGCAGUGGGGAAUCUUGGACAAUGGGCGAAAGCCUGAUCCAGCCAUGCCGCGUGUGUGAAGAAGGUCUUCGGAUUGUAAAGCACUUUAAGUUGGGAGGAAGGGCAGUAAGUUAAUACCUUGCUGUUUUGACGUUACCAACAGAAUAAGCCCCGGCUAACUUCGUG
rnacentral:rRNA from 1 species